UACAGAGGUCUCAAGCGUUGUUCGGAUUCAUUGGGCGUAAAGGGUGCGUAGGUGGCGCGGUAAGUCGGGUGUGAAAUCUCGGAGCUUAACUCCGAAAUUGCAUUCGAUACUGCCGUGCUCGAGGACUGGAGAGGAGACUGGAAUUUACGGUGUAGCAGUGAAAUGCGUAGAGAUCGUAAGGAAGACCAGUGGCGAAGGCGAGUUUCUGGACAGUUACUGACGCUGGAGGCACGAAGGCCAGGGGAGCAAACGGG
rnacentral:rRNA from 1 species